UUAAAGUCUAUUCUUUGUUAAUUCUGACUCCAGUUGCAAGUUAUGCUAGUUGUAUGUACGUACACUCGAUCAGCAGGCAUGAUGAGACAUCUCAUGUGGUCGUACUUAAUAUUGACUAGAACUGUGAUAUUGGUACAGCCUAUAGCUGUCCAGAUACUGUUAUUAAAUGAUUAAAGUGAUUAGCUUAAAACGUAAAUUUGAUUACUAAUUUCCGACUGCAAGCUAGGGUAGCUAACCAUUACAAAAAGCGUGGGGUGGACCAUUCUCGUCCCCAGAGCCAUUUUCACCUGGUCACUCGUUGAAAAUUAGGCUCUGGGUUAGACGACAAAAAGAAGAGAUCUGAUUGGCUUUUCAGAGUAAUGCUAUUUCACAGAAGUUGAGCAGUUUUCGCAGGGAAAAUUUAUUCUGUCAACAUAUGUCAACGCAAAUACUUCGUUUCUUCGUAUACUUCACUGUUAAAAUUGUUACGGGUGCUAAAGUGUCCCAGUUCAAG